rnacentral:rRNA from 1 species
UACGUAGGGUGCAAGCGUUGUCCGGAAUUAUUGGGCGUAAAGAGCUCGUAGGCGGCUUGUUGCGUCGACUGUGAAAACCUGCGGCUCAACCGUGUGGUCUGCAGUCGAUACGGGCAGGCUGGAGUUCGGUAGGGGAGACUGGAAUUCCUGGUGUAGCGGUGAAAUGCGCAGAUAUCAGGAGGAACACCGGUGGCGAAGGCGGGUCUCUGGGCCGAUACUGACGCUGAGGAGCGAAAAGCGUGGGGGAGCGAACAGGG